rnacentral:rRNA from 1 species
GACGAGCGCUGGCGGCGUGCUUAACACAUGCAAGUCGAACGGAAAGGCCCUGCUUUUGUGGGGUGCUCGAGUGGCGAACGGGUGAGUAACACGUGAGUAACCUGCCCUUGACUUUGGGAUAACUUCAGGGAACUGGGGCUAAUACCGGAUAGGAGCUCCUGCUGCAUGGUGGGGGUUGGAAAGUUUCGGUGGUUGGGGAUGGACUCGCGGCUUAUCAGCUUGUUGGUGGGGUAGUGGCUUACCAAGGCUUUGACGGGUAGCCGGCCUGAGAGGGUGACCGGCCACAUUGGGACUGAGAUACGGCCCAGACUCCUACGGGAGGCAGCAGUGGGGAAUAUUGCACAAUGGGCGGAAGCCUGAUGCAGCAACGCCGCGUGCGGGAUGACGGCCUUCGGGUUGUAAACCGCUUUCGCCUGUGACGAAGCGUGAGUGACGGUAAUGGGUAAAGAAGCACCGGCUAACUACGUG